rnacentral:lncRNA from 1 species
GUGGGAGAUCCACAGGCUGAGGAGGGCACUGCUAUUGCGAAUUGAAGAUUAGCCGACUGACAAUAAUGAUGAUAAUAAUAAUUAUUUUUUUUCUUUUAGCCUAUGUUUUUUAUUUGUUUUUGUUUAAUAAAAAAAUUACGUUUAAUCGACUUUGACAUUUUAAUUUUUGUUUAAUUUUCAUUCUGUCUAUUUCUUCUUCUCAACAAACAUGCGGACGAUUAAGGAAU